UUCGUCUCUUUAUAUUGUGUAAUACGUGGUAUAGAUUAACCUGUGUAGAUUGUCUUAGCUCUUUCCAAGGAGCUUCGUCCCGGUAAUCAGGUGGUUCUUCCAACCUGACGAUUUGGGGAAAAAUGUCGCUUGUAGAAGUCACUCUUUCAACUAUUUUUUUUUGUAAUACGCAAGUAAGCGCUGAAUAAUGUUCCAAGCAGUACAAACGUUACAAACAAUCUCUUUCUCUCGCCAGUCUUUUGUUUAUGCUAUCCACGUGAGGUACAUUUAUCAGUAGUCAUUAGUAUAUAAAUUAUUAUAAAAUUUCAAUUCUUUAUUAUGAAAAUGAAUCCGAUUUUCAUGAUCGAUACCAUCCUAAUUAUUACUUUGUUGCUUCUAGGAGAAGGUACUUUAUGUCGGUUAGAAGGGCGUAACCAUUCGUUGACUUUAGAAUUUAAAGGAACAAUUGAACGUCUAUCGGAAGUCUUAACUAAUCUAUGAAUUUUCAAUUAUUUCAGCGAUAGAAAAGAUUAGACUAGAAAGCAGUUCCAAUAUCCUAGAAGUAUACAGGAAGAGCAGAAUUAGGGAUUAGGAAUCGAUAUCUGAGUUCUAAUCACUUGCAAAGAGGAUACGCAUUUCAACUACACUUAACAUGAUAAUUAUAUAUCCGAAGUGAAACAUAAUUACAUUGGCACUUCCUGUUCUUCGUACAAAACAUUGGAUUGUGAAAACAGAAGAGUGGUUCAAGAAGCAGUUGGAAAAUCUAACAAAAGAAUGAGCAUUGUUAGCGACUGCUCGUAGAUUAAAUGCUCUUAAAUCUUCCGAUGUUGAUGUUCUGCAACGUGAUGUUGCUAUAAAGAUGAGAUUAUAAUUUCGCUAAAUAGAUAUAUGUCCGUCGAAGAACUUUAAAUGGAAACAAAAGAGGCCGAUUUCUUUUUACAAAUUAAUUUCUUCAAAGAAAAGGUACUUCAAAGUACAUUUUUUGUGAAGUUGAAUUCAUCGUAAUAUAUCGAAGUAGUAAAGAACAUUUUCUUAUUAAAUAAAGUACAUAGCAAUAUAUACUCCUUAAAUAAGGAUUAUAUGGAAGAUCAUUUCGGUUAACUGUAAUACUACAUUUGUCUACAAAUGCUACGUUUGCUUAAUGUAUAGCUCAUCU